GACGAACGCUGGCGGCGUGCUUAACACAUGCAAGUCGAACGGAAAGGCCCCUUUGGGGGUACUCGAGUGGCGAACGGGUGAGUAACACGUGAGUAACCUGCCCUUGACUUCGGGAUAACUUCAGGAAACUGGGGCUAAUACCGGAUAGGAAUCCUUGCUGCAUGGUGGGGGUUGGAAAGCUUCGGCGGUUUUGGAUGGACUCGCGGCUUAUCAGCUUGUUGGUGGGGUAGUGGCUUACCAAGGCUUUGACGGGUAGCCGGACUGAGAGGGCGACCGGCCACAUUGGGACUGAGAUACGGCCCAGACUCCUACGGGAGGCAGCAGUGGGGAAUAUUGCACAAUGGGCGGAAGCCUGAUGCAGCAACGCCGCGUGCGGGAUGACGGCCUUCGGGUUGUAAACCGCUUUCAGCAGGGGCGAAGCUUGUGGUGACGGUACCUGCAGAAGAAGCACCGGCUAACUACGUG
rnacentral:rRNA from 1 species